GGGAAUAUGGCUUAGUGGUUAGAGUGCUUGCCUUGCAUGCAUGAAGCCCUAGGUUCGAUUCCUCAGUGCUA
rnacentral:tRNA from 1 species